rnacentral:rRNA from 1 species
AACGAACGCUGGCGGCGUGCCUAACACAUGCAAGUCGAGCGCGAAAGUCCCUUCGGGGGUGAGUAGAGCGGCGGACGGGUGAGUAAUACAUAGGUAAUCUACCUUCGAGCUUGGGAUAACCCUGCGAAAGUGGGGCUAAUACCGGAUAAGACCACGUAAUUAUUUUACGGGGUAAAAGGUGGCUUAUUUUUUAAAUGAGCUAUCACUUGAGGAUGAGCCUGUGGCCUAUCAGCUUGUUGGUGGGGUAAGAGCCUACCAAGGCUAUGACGGGUAGCUGGUCUGAGAGGACGACUAGCCACACUGGGACUGAGACACGGCCCAGACUCCUACGGGAGGCAGCAGUGGGGAAUAUUGGGCAAUGGGCGAAAGCCUGACCCAGCGACGCCGCGUGGGCGAUGAAGGCCUUCGGGUUGUAAAGACCCUGUCAUGCGGAAAGAACGACCCUCGCGACGCAUAAUCGCAGGGAGUGACGGUACGCAGGAGGAAGCACCGGCUAACUCCGUGCCAGCA